UUUUUUUUUUUAUCAAAAGCAGGUGACCAUGUGUAUGGAUUCAUGUCUGGGUAUUCAAUUUAAUCCCAUUGACCUAUAUAUUUUUGUGCCAAUAACAUGCUGUUUUUACUACUAUAGUUUUGUAGUACUACUUGAAAUCGAUAAUGGUGAUAUCAUAAACAGUUCUUUAUUUUUCAAGAUUGUUAUAGCUAUUCAGAGUUUUUGUUGUUGUUGUUUUCUCAUGAAGCUGAAAAUUGUCUUUUCAAGAUCUGUGAAGAACUGUGUUGGAAUUUUGAUGGGGUUUUCAUUGAAUCUGUAGAUUGAUGUUGGUAGGAUGACCUUAGUCCUUUCUUUACAGGAGCAUGGGAGAUCUUUCCAUCUUCUUGAUAUCUUUUUCAAUUUAUUUCUUCAAUGACAAGGUGGUUUUUUUUAAUCAUACAACUCUUCCACUUGCUUAGUUAGAUUUCUCUCAAGAUAUUUUAUAUUUUUGCUACUGUUGUAAAGGUGUUUCUUCUCCUGAUUUCAUUCUCACUUUGUCAUUUGUACAAAGAAAAGCUAAUGAGAUUUUUUUUUUUUAGUUAAUUUUGUAUCCAGCUCUUUUGCUAAAAGUGUUUAUUAGUUGUGUAGGAGUUUCCUUGUAGAAUUUUUGGGUCACUUACGUAUACUAGCAUAUUAUCUGCAAAUAAAGAUACAUAGACUUCCUCCUUUCUAAUUUGCAUCCCCUUGAAUUCAUUCAGUUGUGUUAUUUUUUUUCAGUUGUGUUAUUGCUAUAACUAAGACUUCAAGUUCUAUGCAGUGAAGAGGUAUGCAGAGAGUAGACAACCUUGUCUUAUUCCUGAUUUUAGAGGAAUUGUUUUGAGUUUCUUUCCACUUAAGCUGAUAUUGACUAUGGGCUUGCUGUAAACUGUCUUUAUUUUGUUGAGGUCCCUUGUAUCGCUAAACUCACCAAAUUUUUUAUCAUAGAGAGGCGUUGGACUUUGUCAAAGGUCAGAAACCUUUUUUAACCAGUGAUCUUGUGUCCAGUCACUUCAUCCCCCUCUGAAUAUUCAUUUUUCUAAUAAUAUCUUUAUUUAGUGUGAUUCACAUACCAUAGUGAUCAAUGUUUCAUAGUACACACUUCAUUGGUUUUUGGUGUCGUUUCUGAGUUUCUCAUUAACCACUAUUUCUAACUCCAUCGAAUUUCUUUCACACCAAAAGAAAUUUGACACCCAUGAGCAAUCUCUUCCUGGUAUCUCUCUGUUUUCUUCUCUCACAAGCCACUUGAAACCACUUAUCUACUUUAUAUCUCCUUGUAUUUCUUUUCUGUACUUGUCACACAAUUAGAUUCUAUAUUUGUGUUCUAGUGUCUAGUUGUUUUUACUUAGCAUAAAGUUUUCAGGGUUAUAUACAGUUGUAACAUGUAUCUAAGGCUUCAUUUUUUUAACAGGUGAAUAAUAUUUCACAGGGGGUACAUGUCAUGUUAAAGGUUUUCAUUUUUUGGCUCUUACUUAUGUGUAUGUGUGUUUACCACAUGUAUGCAGUCACAUUAGAUUCCUGGAAGCUGGAGUUAUAGAUGUUUUUUAUCUUCUUCCAGAGGUGGGUGCUAAGAACCUAACUCCUGUCCUCUGGAAGAGCAGGAAAUGCUCCUAACUAGGGAGCCAACUUUCCAGCCCCUUGGUUUUACAAUUUCUUCAUUCACACUUGAAUGACAGUUUCUUUCUACCUUCUAGUUACUACAAAUUGUGCUGUUAGGGGCACUUGGAUAAUUGUCUGCAUUUUCUACUGUCUUGCGUGUAUACCAAGUAGUGAAGAUACCCAGUCAAAGUGCUAACUUUAUGUUUUACUAUUUGGGAUCUACCAAACCGUCUUCCAGAGUAGAUGCGGACAGGCUUUCUUUGCUUUCUUGUGUUCUGUCUUUGUAGUCAGUACCACAGAAUCAACAUGAAGUAGUUCACUGUGGCUUCGAUUUGCAUCAAAGUGACUGAUGGUGUUAGACAUUAUAGUUGCUUGAAGAUGUUCUUUGAAGAAAUAUCUACUCAAGUCACUUGUUUAUUUUUAAUUGUGUUGAAAUUUGUUUUAAAAUUGGGGUCUGCUUUCUUGAAUUUGACCCAAGUCUCAGUUAUGUUUGUUCAUCCCAAAAUCUUAUCAAAAAAAAAAAAAAAAAAACAAAGCAAACAAACAAACG
rnacentral:lncRNA from 1 species